rnacentral:rRNA from 1 species
GAUGAACGCUGGCGGCGUGCCUAAUACAUGCAAGUCGAGCGAACAGACGAGGAGCUUGCUCCUCUGACGUUAGCGGCGGACGGGUGAGUAACACGUGGAUAACCUACCUAUAAGACUGGGAUAACUUCGGGAAACCGGAGCUAAUACCGGAUAAUAUAUUGAACCGCAUGGUUCAAUAGUGAAAGACGGUUUUGCUGUCACUUAUAGAUGGAUCCGCGCCGCAUUAGCUAGUUGGUAAGGUAACAGCUUACCAAGGCAACGAUGCGUAGCCGACCUGAGAGGGUGAUCGGCCACACUGGAACUGAGACACGGUCCAGACUCCUACGGGAGGCAGCAGUAGGGAAUCUUCCGCAAUGGGCGAAAGCCUGACGGAGCAAUGCCGCGUGAGUGAUGAAGGUCUUCGGAUCGUAAAACUCUGUUAUUAGGGAAGAACAAAUGUGUAAGUAACUAUGCACGUCUUGACGGUACCUAAUCAGAAAGCCACGGCUAACUACGUG